ACCCGUCUCCCGUUGAUUGCCGUUGUAACUGCGACGUCUGCGGUUUUCUGUUAUGGACACAUGACUGGAAACUGCUGUAGGCCAGGAAUGUGAAGUCCAGAUGGCAGCAUUUCGGUUGCACGAGACGUGACAUUUAAUGCCUUUAUUGGAUCGCACCAGUUGAGCGAUGACAGGAAACGAGUGGGAGAGAGAGCUGCACCAAUGGCUCCUUGUCGGCAUCUUGAUCCCUCAGCCGCCGAGGGGAGGGGACUUCCUGUUUAUAGCACGAGC